rnacentral:tRNA from 1 species
UGCUCGGUUAGUUUAAUGGGAGAACCCCGUCUUUACACGGCGGUUGCGAUAGUUCGAUUCUAUCACCGAGUACCAA